rnacentral:lncRNA from 1 species
AAACAAUUUGAAAAAAAAAAAUUGAGGGACUAUCAGAUCCCUGAGUUUCCCCAUCCCAUCUUCCCUGCAAAGGACGGUGCCAUCUAUCCUUUUGAGGCUGGUAUAUUUGAUUUUUACACCCGGGUGUGUAAUUUUGCAAAUUACCGUGUUCCUUUUAUCAAGUUUUUAAUGAAGGUUCUUCAAUUUCAUGGAGUACACAUUUCACAAGUUAAUCAUUUUGGUUUGAGCCGUAUAAAUCAUUUCGAGCUAUCUUGUCAAGCUUUGGGAUGGUUACCGGAUCUGAACGUAUUCCGGUUCUUUUAUGAGUUUGGUUCGGCUGGGAAUGGUACACUUUUGGCCACUGGAAGAAGGUUGAGAGUUGCACUUCUGAGGAGAAGUCUAGUAUGAAGCAUUGGAAGGAUAACUUCUUUCUGGACGACAGGUGACAUACUGUGAUUUCAGUACACGUGCUACGGAGCACCAUCAAGCUUGAAAUAGUGGCUCAAUUAAAUAAACAUGUUU